rnacentral:sRNA from 1 species
AGCCAAACCCGAUUGAAAUGGAAAGCGCCCGGUGCUUCACCGGGACUUGUAAUGUAAAGCGGGAGUAACG